GAUAUUUUUUCUUAUUGGUCAUGUAUAUUGCAUUUUUAGGUAAAAAUAAAAAAUAUCGCGACAAUAUCAUUAUCGCAAUACUAGACAUCCAUAUCGCAUAUCGCACUAAUUUCCAAUAUCGUGCAGCCCUAAUCAGCACAACGCUGGCUCCUCCCUCC